GGAUUAGAUACCCUGGUAGUCCACGCCGUAAACGAUGUCUACUAGCCGUUGGGAGUCUUGUACUCUUGGUGGCGCAGCUAACGCAAUAAGUAGACCGCCUGGGGAGUACGGUCGCAAGAUUAAAACUCAAAUGAAUUGACGGGGGCCCGCACAAGCGGUGGAGCAUGUGGUUUAAUUCGAAGCAACGCGAAGAACCUUACCUACUCUUGACAUCCAGAGAACUUUCCAGAGAUGGAUUGGUGCCUUCGGGAACUCUGAGACAGGUGCUGCAUGGCUGUCGUCAGCUCGUGCCG
rnacentral:rRNA from 1 species